GAAAGGAAACAAACCUCUGUGUUAAAAUACUAUGUGCAGUAAGCGUAACUUACUUCAGUACUCCAUUAUGUUGUUGUCAAUAGAAUUAGUUAACAUUUAUAUGCGAAAUACAGUGCCAGAAUCCCGAGAGUGUACAUUAUGGAUAUUACGUAUGCACUGUGAUGAGUAACACCGCUGCCUACCGGAGACAACCUCUUUAUGGUUAAGUUUGAACCUCUUCAACCACAGUAUAAAAUCUUGGGACGAAAUUUACACAUAUGUUAUGAUACACUACUAAACCUUUUUUUCUUGUAGUGGCGUGAUGAGAAAGGAAUGAGAUCUGACCCAAGCAAAUAUGACAACCUCUUCUUUCUUGUUAGUGACCUUUGAAACUUCAUAUUGGACCAGAUUAUACACGUCAAAAGGCAUUAGCCAUGACCCAAAAUCUGACGUAGGAAUGCAUCUUGAUCCCCAACAACUUGGUGAGAUGGAAAGACCAGCCUUAGGCCGUUGAUUGGACAAGUGAAUGUAAUGUGAUCAGAAUGAAUGUUAUCGGACUUGUGUCUAUGAUGUAAUCAGGCGUGAAUGUGAUCGGAC
rnacentral:lncRNA from 1 species